AGCAAACAGGAUUAGAUACCCUGGUAGUCACGCGUAAACGAUGAGUGCUAAGUGUUAGGGGGUUCCGCCCUUUAGUGCUGCAGCUAACGCAUUAAGCACUCCGCUGGGGAGUACGACCGCAAGGUUGAAACUCAAAGGAAUUGACGGGGGCCCGCACAAGCGGUGGAGCAUGUGGUUUAAUUCGAAGCAACGCGAAGAACCUUACCAGGUCUUGACAUCCUUUGACCACUCUAGAGAUAGAGCUUUCCCUUCGGGGACAAAGUGACAGGUGGUGCAUGGUUGUCGUCAGCUCGUGUCGUGAGAUGUUGGGUUAAGUCCCGCAACGAGCGCAACCCUUAUUGUUAGUUGCCAUCAUUCAGUUGGGCACUCUAGCGAAACUGCCGGUGACAAACCGGAGGAAGGUGGGGAUGACGUCAAAUCAUCAUGCCCCUUAUGACCUGGGCUACACACGUGCUACAAUGGACAGUACAAUGAGCAGCGACACGGCGACGUGAAGCGAAUCUCAUAAAGCUGUUCUCAGUUCGGAUUGUAGGCUGCAACUCGCCUACAUGAAGCCGGAAUCGCUAGUAAUCGCGGAUCAGCACGCCGCGGUGAAUACGUUCCCGGGCCUUGUACACACCGCCCGUCACACCACGAAAGUUUGUAACACCCAAAGUCGGUGAGGUAACCUUCGGGAGCCAGCCGCCUAAGGUGGGAUAGAUGAUUGGGGUGAAGUCGUAACAAGGUAACCA
rnacentral:rRNA from 1 species